CGGCGGAUAACUCAGUUGGUCAGAGUGACAAGCCCUAUGUUGUGGUUGUGGGUUCGAGUCCCACUCCGCCAG
rnacentral:tRNA from 1 species